rnacentral:rRNA from 1 species
UUGGUGGGGUGAUGGCCUACCAAGGCGACGACGGGUAGCCGGCCUGAGAGGGUGUCCGGCCACACUGGGACUGAGAUACGGCCCAGACUCCUACGGGAGGCAGCAGUGGGGAAUAUUGCACAAUGGGCGCAAGCCUGAUGCAGCGACGCCGCGUGGGGGAUGACGGCCUUCGGGUUGUAAACCUCUUUCACCAUCGGCGAAGCCCAUAGCUUGUGUUGUGGGUGACGGUAGGUGGAGAAGAAGCACCGGCCAACUACGUGCCAGCAGCCGCGGUAAUACGUAGGGUGCGAGCGUUGUCCGGAAUUACUGGGCGUAAAGAGCUCGUAGGUGGUUUGUCGCGUUGUCCGUGAAAUUCCCUGGCUUAACUGGGGGCGUGCGGGCGAUACGGGCAGACUGGAGUACUGCAGGGGAGACUGGAAUUCCUGGUGUAGCGGUGGAAUGCGCAGAUAUCAGGAGGAACACCGGUGGCGAAGGCGGGUCUCUGGGCAGUAACUGACGCUGAGGAGCGAAAGCGUGGGGAGCGAACAGGAUUAGAUACCCUGGUAGUCCACGCCGUAAACGUUGGGCACUAGGUGUGGGGAUCUAUCGACGGUUUCCGUGCCGAAGCUAACGCAUUAAGUGCCCCGCCUGGGGAGUACGG